rnacentral:lncRNA from 1 species
GUCCUUGCCGCCCCUGUGGUCCCACAUCCCCUCGACUUCCAUAAAGCUCCUCCGCGUACUCCGCCCGCUCCCUCUCCGGACCCCGCCGCGCACGACAUUCCCAUAUUCGACUCCUCUCAGGCGCCCCCACCCCACACGGCAGCCGUCCGCCGCCCGCCUUCCUCCCCGGGGCCCGGCCAGGCCUCAGGCCUCCGCCUCAGAGCGCCCCCCACGCCAGCCGAGGGGCUUCUCGCGGCCCCGACCGCACCGCCGACCUCGACCCCACCACCUCACCCCACUCCCCGCGGCUCGGGCCCGAGUCCUACCACCGAGGCCACUCCCGCUCGGCACCCUCGGUCCUUUAUUGUUGACUCGAAGCUCCCAAAAUGGCGGCGGCUCCUUCCUCCUCGGAAACCUCCGCCCGCCCCCACUCGGCCCCUCGCCGCUGCCUCCUCCUCCCGCCCCCGCCCCCGCCCCCGCCCCGCUCCGGGGGCCGCUCCGCAGGGCCGCCCGCGCCCGCCGGCUCUCCGGCCGCCCAGCCCUACCUCCGCCGCUGCCCGCUCUCAUGGCGCCGCCAGAGUCGCCGCCCGGGCUGAGCUAACUCGGCUGCUCUGCCCCUCCCCCGCCCGCCCGCCGCCCCCUCCCCCUCGCCUCCCCCUCCCCCUGCCUGUCCGCAUGGCGGCGGCGGCGGCCGCGGCUCCUCCUACAGACAAGAUGGCGAGAGCUCCGCCACCGCCGCGCCAGCCUCGGAGUCGCGGCCUCCCGGCUUCGCGGCCGGAGGAACGCGGGCCGGGGAACCUCCCUGAGGAGAAAAUGGACGGCCGUGCUCUCACACAGAUGGGGGCCCCGAGGACGGAGACUCGAGGGGGCAAUACGGGUUCCUUUCUGAGCGGGAAGCGGGGCUGGCUUUUUCCACAGCUGAGGAGAAACGAGGGGGACACGGUGGCCGGGAAGAGAGUCCACCCUGUCUUCGCCCCUUGGCAGUGGAAAUCGGGGGUUGUGACCAGAGGAGGAGCUGCUUGUUCCUGA